UCCGGUAUGGUGUAACGGCUAACAUUGCCGCCUUUCACAAUUACUUCGCGGCAGCUCGGGGUUCGAUUCCCCGUACCGGAA